rnacentral:rRNA from 1 species
AGAGAGAGACAUGCGCGCAUAUCAAUAAGCGGAGGAAAAGAAACUAACAAGGAUUCCCUUAGUAACGGCGAGUGAAGCGGGAAGAGCUCAAAUUUGAAAUCUUCAAGGUUUUACCUUGACGAAUUGUAGUUUAAAGAAGUGUUUUCUGCUGAAGUUUUGGUAAAAGUUCUUUGGAAUAGGACAUCAUAGAGGGUGAGAAUCCCGUAUUUGACCAUUAUUUUCAGCUUUGUGAUACACUUUCAAAGAGUCGGAUUGUUUGGGAAUGCAAUCCAAAAUGGGUGGUAAAUUUCAUCUAAAGCUAAAUAUUGGCGAGAGACCGAUAGCGAACAAGUACCGUGAGGGAAAGAUGAAAAGAACUCUGAAAAGAGAGUUAAACAGUACGUGAAAUUGUCAAAAGGGAAGCGUUUGACACCAGUGUUGUUUUCUCGAAAAUCAAUUAAAAAUGGCUCGAUUUUGUAUUGCUUGAGACCUUAAAAGCUCACUGUACAUUUUUCGUGUCUUUUUUAAUGCACUUUUCGUUUAACAAGUCAACAUCAGUUUCUUUUGUUGUAAAAGGGUCAUUGGAAGGUGGCUUUCUUUUCGGAGAAAGUGUUUAUAGCCUUUGGCCUCUGCAAUCGGAGAGAUUGAGGUCUGCAGCGUAGAUCCUUCGGGGUUAGAUACAUUUGUGCUAAGUUAUAGCCUUUUCAUAGACAACUUGUUGACUAUAAUCAGUCAUGUAGCUUACUCGCUUAUGCUAUUUUACCUACGCUUAGGAUGUUGAGUCGUAGAGCACGCAG